rnacentral:rRNA from 1 species
CAGUAGGGAACCUUCCACAAUGGGCGAAAGCCUGAUGGAGCAACGCCGCGUGUGUGAUGAAGGGUUUCGGCUCGUAAAACACUGUUGUAAGAGAAGAAUGACAUUGAGAGUAACUGUUCAAUGUGUGACGGUAUCUUACCAGAAAGGAACGGCUAAAUACGUGCCAG